GACGAACGCUGGCGGCGUGCUUAACACAUGCAAGUCGAGCGGAAAGGCCCUUCGGGGUACUCGAGCGGCGAACGGGUGAGUAACACGUGAGUAAUCUGCCCUUCACUCUGGGAUAGCCACCGGAAACGGUGAUUAAUACCGGAUACGACCAAUCCCUGCAUGGGGUGUUGGUGGAAACUUUUUUGGGUGGGGGAUGUGCUCGCGGCCUAUCAGCUUGUUGGUGGGGUAAUGGCCUACCAAGGCUUCGACGGGUAGCCGGCCUGAGAGGGUGACCGGCCACACUGGGACUGAGACACGGCCCAGCCUCCUACGGGAGGCAGCAGUGGGGAAUAUUGGACAAUGGGCGGAAGCCUGAUCCAGCAACGCCGCGUGAGGGAUGACGGCCUUCGGGUUGUAAGCCUCUUUCAGCAGGGAAGAAGCGAAAGUGACGGUACCUGCAGAAAAAGCACCGGCUAACUACGUGCCAGCCGCCGCAGUAACAC
rnacentral:rRNA from 1 species